rnacentral:rRNA from 1 species
GUAGGGAAUAUUGGACAAUGGGCGAAAGCCUGAUCCAGCCAUGCCGCGUGAUAGAUGAAGGCCCUCUGGGUUGUAAAUAUCUUUUAUCUGGGAAGAAACUCCUCUAUUCUUAGAGGCCUGACGGUACCAGAGGAAUAAGCACCGGCUAACUCCGUGCCAGCAGCCGCGGUAAUACGGAGGGUGCAAGCGUUAUCCGGAUUCACUGGGUUUAAAGGGUGCGUAGGCGGGUUGAUAAGUCAGUGGUGAAAGCUCCGGGCUUAACUUGGAAACUGCCAUUGAUACUGUCAGUCUUGAAUGUCGUAGAGGUAAGCGGAAUGUUGCAUGUAGCGGUGAAAUGCUUAGAUAUGUUACAGAACACCAAUUGCGAAGGCAGCGUACUAUGCGAUAAUUGACGCUGAGGCACGAAAGCGUGGGGAGCAAACAGGAUUAGAAACCCCGGUAGUCC